rnacentral:rRNA from 1 species
UACGUAGGGGGCAAGCGUUGUCCGGAAUCAUUGGGCGUAAAGCGCGCGUAGGCGGCCCGGUAAGUCCGUUGUAAAAGUCAAAGGCUCAACCUUUGAACGCCGAUGGAUACUGCCGGGCUAGAGUCCGGAAGAGGCGAGUGGAAUUCCUGGUGUAGCGGUGGAAUGCGCAGAUAUCAGGAGGAACACCGAUAGCGAAGGCAGCUCGCUGGGACGGUACUGACGCUGAGGCGCGAAAGCGUGGGGAGCGAACAGG